CAUCCCCAACAGCUAGCCCAACCUAAAAACACAACAAUCAUCAUUAAUACCCCCAAAACCCCAUAAACUAAACAUCAAACCAUUUUUCCCCCUUAGUAUGGGAGACAGAACAGGAACAAGGCGCCAUAGAAAAAGUACCGCAAGGGAAAGCUGAAAGAGAAAUGAAAAAACGCAGUAAAGGACAAAAAAGCAGAGACUAACCCUCGUACCUUUUGCAUCAUGAUUUAGCUAGUAACUCCAGGCAAAGAGACCUUUAUGUCUGAGCCCCCGAAACUAAGCGAGCUACUCCAAGACAGCCUAUUAUAGGGCGAACCCGUCUCUGUGGCAAAAGAGUGGGAAGAGCUUUGAGUAGAGGUGACAGACCUACCGAGCUUAGUUAUAGCUGGUUGCCUGAGAACCGAAUAGAAGUUCAACCUUUUAGCUUCUUACACCAAUUAAGGUCCCACCACCACCCGGCCCCGAGAACACUAAAAGAGCUAUUCAAGGGAGGGACAGCUCUCUUGAAAAAAGAUACAACUUUUACAGAAGGUGAAAGAUUAAACAAAAAAAGGCAAUAUACCCAGGUGGGCCUAAAAGCAGCCAUCCUAACAGAAAGCGUUAAAGCUUAAGUAUUAGAACCCUACAAUUCCAAAAAACAUUUCUUAAACCCCUAAAACCUAUCAGGCCCUUCCAUGCCCCCAUGGAAAAGAAACUGCUAAUAUGAGUAAUAAGAAAGCCAAGGCUUUCUCCCCGCACCUGUGUAAUCAGAACAGACCCUAACUGAAAAUUAACGCCCCCACCCACAGAGGGUAAUGAGAUAACCAAAAAAGACCAAGAAGUCCCCUCAUUAAAUAGCGUUGGCCCCACACAGGAGUGCUAAAGGAAAGACAAAAAGAAAAAGAAGGAACUCGGCAAACACUGGCCUCGCCUGUUUACCAAAAACAUCGCCUCUUGCAAGAUAUGUAUAAGAGGUCCCGCCUGCCCUGUGACGAGAGUUUAACGGCCGCGGUAUUUUGACCGUGCGAAGGUAGCGUAAUCACUUGUCUUUUAAAUAAAGACCUGUAUGAAUGGCAUAACAGAGGGCUAAGCUGUCUCCUUUUUCUAGUCAAUGAAAUUGAUCUGCCCGUGCAGAAGCGAGCAUAAAUACAUAAGACGAGAAGACCCUAUGGAGCUUAAGACACAAGGACAGACUACGUUAAGAUAUCUUAAUAACAAGAACAAAACCAAGUAACUACUGCCCCCAUGUCUUUGGUUGGGGCGACCGCGGGGAAACAACAAACCCCCACGUGGAACGGGACCAAAGUCCCUAAAGCCAGAGCCACAGCUCUAACAAACAGAAAUUCUGACCAACAAGAUCCGGCCAAGCCGAUCAACGGACCCAGUUACCCUAGGGAUAACAGCGCAAUCCCCUUCUAGAGCCCAUAUCGACAAGGGGGUUUACGACCUCGAUGUUGGAUCAGGACAUCCUAAUGGUGCAGCCGCUAUUAAGGGUUCGUUUGUUCAACGAUUAAAGUCCU
rnacentral:rRNA from 1 species